rnacentral:rRNA from 1 species
GACAGAGGAGCCAAGCGUUGUCCGGAUUGACUGGGCGUAAGCGCACGCAGGCGGACGCGCGGCGUGGGGUGUGAAAUCUGGCCGCUUAACGGCCAGCGGCCAUCCCAUACGGCGGGUCUGGAGCGAUGCAGAGGUCGGUGGAAUUGCCGGUGUAGUGGUGAAAUGCGUAGAGAUCGGCAGGAACACCCAGGGGGAAACCACGCCGACGGGCAUCCUG